AUUGAACGCUGGCGGCAUGCCUUACACAUGCAAGUCGAACGGCAGCACGGGAGCAAUCCCGGUGGCGAGUGGCGAACGGGUGAGUAAAGUAUCGGAACGUGCCCAGUCGUGGGGGAUAACGUAGCGAAAGUUACGCUAAUACCGCAUACGAUCUAUGGAUGAAAGCGGGGGAUCGCAAGACCUCGCGCGAUUGGAGCGGCCGAUAUCAGAUUAGGUAGUUGGUGGGGUAAAGGCCCACCAAGCCGACGAUCUGUAGCUGGGCUGAGAGGAGGACCAGCCACACUGGGACUGAGACACGGCCCAGACUCCUACGGGAGGCAGCAGUGGGGAAUUUUGGACAAUGGGCGAAAGCCUGAUCCAGCCAUGCCGCGUGCAGGAUGAAGGCCUUCGGGUUGUAAACUGCUUUUGUACGGAACGAAAAGGACUGCCCUAAUACGGUGGUCCCAUGACGGUACCGUAAGAAUAAGCACCGGCUAACUACGUGCCAGCCGCCGCCGUAA
rnacentral:rRNA from 1 species